GGGGAUGCGUGGUCUCGACAGGGCAGGCGAACGUGGCGUUGCGCGUCGAGGAUGUCGCCUUACCUCGCAAAUCACGGCGGCGGCAGACAACUGCCAAAACAAAUUACGCCCUCGCUGCUUAACAGCUAGCGAGCGCGGCCUAGGUCUCCGCCUCACGGACCUGGAGCCGCGCCAAGCGUGAGGCUGCGGUCCGGCGAGUGGCCGGUAGUCGGACUUAAGUCUUUCGGCCUGGCGUCCCGCGAAGCCCGUCCGUGGGCGUCGCGGGCGCGAGAAACGAAUCGCGGGCUACACGCGUAGUAACGCUGCGCUCAACGGCUCUGGACGGGGAGUUCGACUCUCCCCCAUCUCCACAG
rnacentral:tmRNA from 1 species